rnacentral:rRNA from 1 species
AACGAACGCUGGCGGCAGGCUUAACACAUGCAAGUCGAGCGCCCCGCAAGGGGCGCGGCAGACGGGUGAGUAACGCGUGGGAACGUACCUUUUGGUUCGGAACAACUCCGGGAAACUGGAGCUAAUACCGGAUAAGCCCUAACGGGGAAAGAUUUAUCGCCGAAAGAUCGGCCCGCGUCUGAUUAGCUAGUUGGUGAGGUAACGGCUCCCCAAGGCGACGAUCAGUAGCUGGUCUGAGAGGAUGAUCAGCCACACUGGGACUGAGACACGGCCCAGACUCCUACGGGAGGCAGCAGUGGGGAAUAUUGGACAAUGGGCGCAAGCCUGAUCCAGCCAUGCCGCGUGAGUGAUGAAGGCCUUAGGGUUGUAAAGCUCUUUUGUCCGGGAAGAUAAUGACUGUACCGGAAGAAUAAGCCCCGGCUAACUUCGUG